UCGAAGGUAGCAUAAUCAGUAGUCUUUUAAUUGAAGGCUGGUAUGAAUGGUUGGACGAGAAAUUAACUGUUUCAUAAAAAUUUAUAGUAGAAUUUUAUUUUUUAGUCAAAAAGCUAAAAUUUAUUUAAAAGACGAGAAGACCCUAUAAAUCUUUAUAUAAGUUUUAUUGUAAUUUUUUAGAUUCAUUUUGUUAUAAUAAAUUAUUAUAUUUUAUUGGGGUGAUAUUAAAAUUUAAUAAACUUUUAAUUUUUAUAAUCAUUAAUAUAUGAAUAAAUGAUCCGUUAAUAACGAUUAAAAAAUUAAGUUACUUUAGGGAUAACAGCGUAAUUUUUUUGGAGAGUUCAUAUCGAUAAAAAAGAUUGCGACCUCGAUGUUGGAUUAA
rnacentral:rRNA from 1 species